rnacentral:rRNA from 1 species
GUGGGGAAUAUUGGGCAAUGGGCGAAAGCCUGACCCAGCAACGCCGCGUGAAGGAAGAAGGUUUUCGGAUCGUAAACUUCUAUCCUUGGUGAAGAUAAUGACGGUAGCCAAGAAGGAAGCCCCGGCUAACUACGUGCCAGCAGCCGCGGUAAUACGUAGGGGGCAAGCGUUGUCCGGAAUGAUUGGGCGUAAAGGGCGCGUAGGCGGCCUGGUAAGUCUGGAGUGAAAGUCCUGCUUUUAAGGUGGGAAUUGCUUUGGAUACUGUCGGGCUUGAGUGCAGGAGAGGUAAGUGGAAUUCCCGGUGUAGCGGUGAAAUGCGUAGAGAUCGGGAGGAACACCAGUGGCGAAGGCGACUUACUGGACUGUAACUGACGCUGAGGCGCGAAAGUGUGGGGAGCAAACAGGAUUAGAUACCCUAGUAGUCC